CAGUGUGAAGUGUGCAAUUUUCUUAGUGCUGGGUUUGCAUCUGACUAAAGUAGGGAAAAUGUACAAAAUAAUUGUAAACUGGGAGAAGGUCGUGGCGGUAAGGAGGGGAAAAGUUUUCACCUGAAAACCCAGCACUCUUUGCCAUCUGAGAAGUCCCAGAAAUUUUCUAGACAAAACUGUUGGUCUGAGAUUUCACAGUUAACUUUGGAAGGCCUGAAGUGUAUAAGCUUCUCAGCUCGCAGAAAUCUGACUCCACUAUUUGUAAUACCAAAUUUUUUGAAGUUUCUCAGCCUUGAGAAUUAACUUGUCAACUGUGAAGAAGCUUCAAAUUUGUCUAUAAAUCAUUUUGCUGCAGGCUAAAAUUUGACAGGCUGUAGGUAAACACUUUUUCUCUGGUAAAAAAAAAAAAUAAGACCAAUACAUUACUAUUAUUUUUUCCCCUUUAGAAUAGAGCCUCUGAUGUCUCCAGUUUAUGACUACAGCCAAUUUUCUCCAAAUUACAGUGUGCUGUGUUCUUACAUUGCCAAGGUAAGUGAUCACCACGAGGCUGAGAACUGCAGGCAGACCUGUGGUGGCACCAUCUGAAAUUCAGCAAGGGAAUUAUUUCCAACCCAGAUUUCUGCUUGUGCUGAGCUGUGUCUCCUUCUCACCUGGGCAUUUCAGGAUUGUGAGCAGAUCCUGAGCCCCUCCCCACACGGGUGAGCUCUGUCCCUGCUGGACCCACCCUGACAAUUCCAGGCUGGAUUUCGAGGACGCCUCGCUGUGCCAGCGCUGCUGAUUUGCUGUUGAGGCUGGAAAUUUUUGACAAGUGACUCAUCCCUGUUCCAGCAACGUGUCCC
rnacentral:lncRNA from 1 species